rnacentral:lncRNA from 1 species
CAAGGGCUCGCACGCCUCAUUCCUGCUUAAUGCUCUUCAAGGUAGUUUCUUCAUUUAAAAGAAGACCUAUCCCUGUUUAAUAUGUCAAAAUGCAUCCCGGUGUCAUGUAUAACUAAAAAGAACAAUUAAAAAUAGGGCUCAGUUGGCAGAGUGCUUGCCUCGCAUGCACAAGGCCCUGGGUUCAAUCCCCAGCACCACGAAAAAAAUAAAUAAAAAUUAAAAAAGCCCUGUCCCUGAAAGUUAGUAAUGGAUCAUUAUAUUCUUCCUGCAAAUGUUUCUGAAACCUAGAAAUGUGCCAGGGACUGGAUCAGGAUGGCCUGCGGGGGCUCCAGCCCCACCAGCCCCCUGAGGGUGAGAACUAGUUAGGAUGGCGCUUUCCUGGCUGUGGUCCUCCAUCAGCCCUUGAACUACCUGGAAAAAGGGACAUUUAAGGGUUAUGGCAGACUUUUUCAAAGUCAUUUUGAGGACAGAAGAAAUUGGUAGAUUGGUAAAAAAGGACACAGAAGGAUGGACACGGAAUGGGAUUUUAACCUGAAGUUCCAUAGGCCUUUUCAGGCCUCUCACUCCCCAGAUUAGCUCUCCCAGCCUUCACUCAAAUUCCCGGAAAAUCUAAAUCUCAGAGUUACCACUCAUGAAAAUUCAUUCACUUUUGAGAAUUACCUUGUGCCCUGUUAAUUAACCCACACACAACAGUAUUCGCCCUAGCAAUAUAAUGUUAAGUGAAUGAAGCAAGUCACUGAAGAAAAAUCCUUUCGAUAUCUAAAGACAACUAAAACUUAAAAAUAUACUCCUUAAUAGAUUAAGUGCAGAGAGAAGAUACUUUAAGAAAGUAUCUAUGACAGUGUGCUUUCCAACAGGAUAACCUGAUCAGAUAAUGGAGACUUAAGGAUUCUGAGAAUGACCAGAACACCAUUAACCACCUUGUGAUCACUAGACUGGGGUCAUCCCUACACACCUUCCCAUGCCCACCCCUCACCAACUUCCUUUAAAAGGAGAGCCUGGGACCCUAUAGCACCUCUUUCAAGAUAGCCACAUUCUCCCUUCAGUGGGUGUCUACUUCCCUAAAUAAAC